GUAAUAACAAUAAAUCACCUCUUUUGCACCCAAAGGUGUCCCUAGCAUUUUUUGAUAAUAAAUUUAAAUAAAGAGAACUUUAUAAGGACAGGCCGACUCAUAUCAACUACGAACGGCCAAUUUCCAAAAGAAGAAAAUUAAAUAAAAGUGAUCCGAUCUGAAGACAACCCACCUCAAUAUCGCUUUUCUUUUAAUGAGAGCUUAGCCUGUUUUCAUCAUUUAAACACUGUAGAAAUAUAUAUAUGAUCCUUACAAUGGAGCUAAAACCCUCGUUUAUGUCAGCCUUUCUGGUCAUCUUCUUGGUCAUGGCAGCAUCAAAAGAAGUAAUUAUUAAGGUGGAAGGAAGAGGAGAGUUUCGUUGCCCCAAAAUGAUAGAGUGCAAGAGCGUAUGCCAAGGCUACCCCAAUUGCUGCGUCAAUGGCCAGUGCCUUUGCGAACCUUGCCGGACUCUGCUUCCACAGCCGCUUGAGUCUUCUUCUCCACCUGAAAAUUAAUUCAAAUAUUAACUCAUCAUCAUCAACAAAAUUUACUUAUAUCUUCUCUUACUUUAAGUCUUUAAUUAUCUUUAUUUCUUUAUUGUUCAGGCGAAUAAUUGCUAAUUAAUUGAAAUGAAUGUGACACAUUAACUUUAUACAUAUAUAUUUUAUAAUUGAGUAUGAGUACUCUUCUUUUAACUACUGUAAUUGUGAAUUGAGUGCUUAAAUAUUUCAGUCAAUUAUUAUUAA